GGUAACAAAUGGGGAGAAGCCACAGUAAUUGGAUUUGCUAUUAAGUGGGUGUAUUGCUACCAAAUUGAACAGAAAAUUACUGGGAACAUUUGGAGUGAGAAUGAAAGUGUCUCAGAUGUGGUGACGGGGACCAGCCAGCCCUCCUGCUCCCGCUCCCUGGGCGGCUGCAGCGCUGAUGCUUCCCUGAGCUUCUUGGUCCUGCGGCCUGUCUGGCCCCCAGGGGCACCCGGACCUCCCACUGGCUGCGGGCUGACCCCUUUUUUCUACUCUCUUCCAGGCUUCGUGGGAUCCGGCCUGCUGUCCUUUCCCUUCCUAGCUGCCAGCAAGGACUCUGGUUUCUUACAAUUCCCUGUCUUCAGAUCAGGCCCCGUCUCCCACUUCCUGGUCAUCCCCCCAAACACAAGAGCUGAUCGGCUUAAAGACUUCAGUGCAGUUACCCUAAGGAAAGAAGAACGCACCUCUGAUUCUGGUGUGAAUUAAGCAGCAGGAAAAAACAGCUCUGGGUGUCAAGGUACCACCAGCCCUGGGAUCUGUGCUUUGGGAGCUUUCCUUUGUAGCGUGGUGGAUAUUGAUCCGAUGUUUUGCAGAAAAGCUCCUUCCGUCCUUCUGAUUUAGAUUAAAAGGCAUCGUCCCAGCAGUGCCUCCCAGGCCCCAUGUCACCUAGUCGGAUUCAUUUCCGCUGCGCCAGGAUGGGAACUCCCCCGUUUACAUUUAGUGCCAACAGAAAGAUUUGGGAAAAUGUUUCAGCGGCGUCAGGCAUGGUUCCCGAAUACCCAGAGUCCUCACCUUCCUUUAUUCUGGAUCGCGGCAGAUUAUAAAUUAAGCGAUCUUUGCGCACACGUUCUCCCCUCAAGGGUUUGUAACAUCCUCCUGUCUCUCAAGACCAGCUACAAGUCCUCUUCUCCGCUGAGUAAGAACAGAACCUGCCUGCCCUCGUUAAAAGGGUAAUCUCAUUCGCAACUUUGCUUUCUCUACAGCUCUUCUUAUAAUCAUAAUGUUUUCACUUGUGGUCAAGUACACCUAAUGUAAAAUCGACCACUGAAACCAGUUUUUUUUUUUUUUUUUUUUUU
rnacentral:lncRNA from 1 species